rnacentral:rRNA from 1 species
UACGUAGGGGGCAAGCGUUGUCCGGAAUCAUUGGGCGUAAAGAGCGUGUAGGCGGCCUGACAGGUCUGCUGUGAAAACUCGAGGCUCAACCUCGAGAUGUCGGCGGAAACCGUCUGGCUAGAGUCCGGAAGAGGAGAGUGGAAUUCCUGGUGUAGCGGUGAAAUGCGCAGAUAUCAGGAAGAACACCCGUGGCGAAGGCGGCUCUCUGGGACGGUACUGACGCUGAGACGCGAAAGCGUGGGGAGCGAACAGG